rnacentral:rRNA from 1 species
CCUACGGGAGGCAGCAGUGAGGAAUAUUGGUCAAUGGGCGCGAGCCUGAACCAGCCAAGUAGCGUGAAGGAUGACUGCCCUACGGGUUGUAAACUUCUUUUAUAAAGGAAUAAAGUGAGGCACGUGUGCCUUUUUGUAUGUACUUUAUGAAUAAGGAUCGGCUACUUCCGUGCCAGCAGCCGCGGUAAUACGGAGGAUCCGAGCGUUAUCCGGAUUUAUUGGGUUUAAAGGGAGCGUAGAUGGGUUGUUAAGUCAGGUGUGAAAGUUUGCGGCUCAACCGUUAAAUUGCAAUUGAUACUGGCAGCCUUGAGUACAGUGGAGGUAGGCGGAAUUCGUGGUGUAGCGGUGAAAUGCUUAGAUAUCACGAAGAACUCCGAUUGCGAAGGUAGCUUACGAAACUGCCACUGACAUUGAUGCUCGAAAGUGUGGGUAUCAAACAGGAUUAGAUACCCUAGUAGUC